rnacentral:rRNA from 1 species
AACGAACGCUGGCGGCAUGCCUAACACAUGCAAGUCGAACGAGACCUUCGGGCCUGGUGGCUCACGGGUGCGUAACGCGUGGGGACAUGCCCUUAGGUUCGGAAUAACUCCCUGAAAGAGGUGCUAAUACCGGAUACUGUCUUCGGACCAAAGAUUUAUCGCCUUUGGAUGGUCCCGCGUUUGAUUAGCUAGUUGGUAGGGUAAAAGCCUACCAAGGCGACGAUCCAUAGCUGGUCUGAGCGGAUGAUCAGCCACACUGGGACUGAGACACGGCCCAGACUCCUACGGGAGGCAGCAGUGGGGAAUAUUGGACCAUGGGCGAAAGCCUGAUCCAGCAAGGCCGCGUGAGUGAUGAAGGCCUUAGGGUUGUAAAGCUCUUGUACCCGGGAUGAUAAUGACAGUACCGGGAGAAUAAGCUCCGGCUAACUCCGUG